CUCAUCCACCGAGCAUACAAUAUCAUCCACUACAGAACCCCAAUUCCGCGGUCAUUGGGAAGUGAAUUGUUUGAUAAAGUGGUCAUCAAUAGCGGAUCGGACCCGUGAGGGAUUAUCCGUCCAGCACGCAUUAAAAUUGAUUUGUUCCAGUUCCUCCCUCACUCCAUCCUUCCUGAUCACGCUCGACAUCGUUCCAAUUUAAUUUCCUUUCCCUAGAACCUAGAACCUAGAACCUUGAACCUUGGUUUAGGUUUCAGUUUCCACCCUGAAUCCGACGACUUCGGCAACGCCCUGCAUGCAUCGAGAAGUCGAAGACAAGCUGUAUUCAUGUGAGAAGUCACAAGGACGGAAGUAACCAAAGAUUGAAAAAAGACGAAGCCAAAGACAGAAACCAUGACAUGAAGGCCAUCGCAGCCGAUAUUUUAUAUCGGCUGCAAAACUUUGGAGGGCAGUAUGGACCGUUAGCAUGGAGCAUGAUAUCCACAACGCUAGUCGUUGAGCAAGCUGCAGCUAGAGUGAGAAUGGAUAAUACCUGUUGAGAAAAAUGUUGAAUCAGUUACAAAAAGUUGGUGGUUGUGAGUGAGUCUGCAGUCCGCAAAGGGUGUACAUGUAUCAGAAUGGUGCUUACUGCUUAGUCUGCUUACCCAAUCUCCAACAACGAUGAUCAGCAGUAUUCCAGGCUGACGAAGAGGGCACUUCACGAGCACAGAGUAACCAUCCACCAAUGCCAAAGUGAAACUCCAAGGUAUGACCAGACCCAUGACUGUUACCAAAUAGCUGCAAUGUAAAACACGGGAGCAAUGUUAAAUGUUGAGCACUGCAUUAUUCGAGUUUGACAGAAAACACAGGAUUAAAAGGAAUCCAUCGUAUUCGUUUAAUUGGUUUUUUUUUUCUUUCAGGCUUGUUGCCCAUUAAUAAAAUUGUUAUUUAGCAUUUCAUUGGUUCAUUGACCAAUUUGAUAACUAGUGGCAGAUUUACAUUGGGAUUAAGGAGGUCCCAGGAUCACGCAGAGUUUGGGAAAUAUACUUCCAAGGACCUUCUAAAUAUUUGGUACAGGUCCCUUUUGUGUGUACCAAUUUUUUGAUGUUAUGCAUGCUAGGUAUAUAUCUCGACAGGUUGCGUCAACGGCAAUCGAUAAAUUCUCUCGA